rnacentral:rRNA from 1 species
UGGCGAACGGGUGAGUAACACGUGGGCAAUCUGCCCUGCACUCUGGGAUAAGCCUGGGAAACUGGGUCUAAUACUGGAUAGGACCUUUCUCCUCAUGGGGUUUGGUGGAAAGUUUUUCGGUGCAGGAUGAGCCCGCGGCCUAUCAGCUUGUUGGUGGGGUAAUGGCCUACCAAGGCGACGACGGGUAGCCGGCCUGAGAGAGUGUACGGCCACAUUGGGACUGAGACACGGCCCAA